rnacentral:tRNA from 1 species
UCAUCGUUAGUAUAGUGGGUGAGUAUCCCCGCCUGUCACGCCGGAGACCGGGGUUCGAUUCCCCGACGGGGAG